GCUUCGUAGCUCAAAGGUAGGGCAGUCCCCUCAUAAGGGACAGGUUCCCGGUUCGACCGCAGCUCGGGCCGGGAGCU
rnacentral:tRNA from 1 species